UUAAGUUCAGCGGGUAUUCCUACCUGAUCCGAGGUCAACCUUCAGAAAGUUCGUUUCUUUUACGGCGUGGCCGCGCCGCUCUCCAGUGCGAGGUGUAUGCUACUACGCAGAGAAGGCUGCGGCGAGACCGCCACUGUAUUUCGGAGACGGCCACCCCGCUAAGGGAGGGCCGAUCCCCAACGCGACCCCCCGGAGGGGUU
rnacentral:misc_RNA from 1 species